AGGACGAACGCUGGCGGCGUGCUUAACACAUGCAAGUCGAGCGAGGCUCCUCCUUCGGGAGGUGCCCUAGCGGCGAACGGGUGAGUAACACGUGGGCAACCUGCCCCUAGCACUGGGAUAACCCCGGGAAACCGGGGCUAAUACCGGAUACGACAAGAGAAGGCAUCUCCUCUUGUGGAAAGGGUUUCUGGCUAGGGAUGGACCCGCGGCCUAUCAGCUUGUUGGUGGGGUAAUGGCCUACCAAGGCGACGACGGGUAGCCGGCCUGAGAGGGUGACCGGCCACACUGGGACUGAGACACGGCCCAGACUCCUACGGGAGGCAGCAGUGGGGAAUAUUGGACAAUGGGCGAAAGCCUGAUCCAGCAACGCCGCGUGAGGGAUGACGGCCUCGGGUUGUAAACCUCUUCAGCAGGGACGAAGCGCAAGUGACGGUACCUGCAGAGAAGCACCGGCCAACUACGUGCCAGCAGCCGC
rnacentral:rRNA from 1 species